rnacentral:tRNA from 1 species
GACCUUAUAUUCAAAUUAAAUGAUUCUAGACUGCAAUUCUAGAGGUGUAACAUGUUUACUAAGGCCU